rnacentral:lncRNA from 1 species
CAGGUACUCGUAUCACACAAUGACGGAGAUACAUUAAGCAUCGGUCUAGUGGCCAGGUACCCGUAUCACACACUGAUGGAGAUACAUUAAGCAUUGGUCUAGUGGCCAGGUAUUUGUAUCACACACUGAUGGAGAUACAUUAAGCAUCGGUCUAGUGGCCAGGUACUCGUAUCACACACUGAUGGAGAUACAUUAAGCAUUGGUCUAGUGGCCAGGUACUCGUAUCACACAAUGACGGAGAUACAUUAAGCAUCGGUCU